CUGGCUGAUGAGACUUAAGGCGAAUGCGACCUGUGCCCUUCGACCCCUGGGGGCGGGGGCUCCGAGUGGGAUCUGAGCUUGGUGGGGCAGACAGUGGGGCUGGACACGAGCCACGUGAGCGCAACCUUGGAUCUGACA
rnacentral:snoRNA from 1 species